GUGGGGAAUCUUGCGCAAUGGGCGAAAGCCUGACGCAGCCAUGCCGCGUGAAUGAUGAAGGUCUUAGGAUUGUAAAAUUCUUUCACCGGGGACGAUAAUGACGGUACCCGGAGAAGAAGCUCCGGCUAACUUCGUGCCAGCAGCCGCGGUAAUACGAAGGGGGCUAGCGUUGCUCGGAAUUACUGGGCGUAAAGGGCGCGUAGGCGGACAGUUUAGUCAGAGGUGAAAGCCCAGGGCUCAACCUUGGAAUUGCCUUUGAAACUGGCUGUCUUGAGUACGGGAGAGGUGGGUGGAACUCCGAGUGUAGAGGUGAAAUUCGUAGAUAUUCGGAAGAGCAACAGUGGCGAAGGCGACUCACUGGCCCGUUACUGACGCUGAGGCGCGAAAGCGUGGGGAGCAAACAGGAUUAGAUACCCGGGUAGUCC
rnacentral:rRNA from 1 species